rnacentral:rRNA from 1 species
UACAGAGGUCUCAAGCGUUGUUCGGAUUCAUUGGGCGUAAAGGGUGCGUAGGCGGCGCGGUAAGUCGGGUGUGAAAUCUUGGAGCUUAACUCCGAAACUGCAUUCGAUACUGCCGUGCUUGAGGACUGGAAGGGGGACUGGAAUUCUCGGUGUAGCAGUGAAAUGCGUAGAUAUCGAGAGGAACACCAGUGGCGAAGGCGAGUCCCUGGACAUCUCCUGACACUGAGGCACGAAAGCUAGGGGAGCAAACAGG